AGGUCUGCAUGGCUAUUUUUAGCUUGUGUUUUAAUACGUAAGGUUAAUUCCUUGUAAACAAGCGCAACUUCUAAUUAUAAACAAUUAGUUAAUUGUUUAUAUAAACUUGUAUAAACUACAGUUUAAUUGAAAUUACAAUAAGUCAUCAUGGACCUAAUAAAAAGGGCUAUUUUUGUGUGUUGCAUUUAAUUUUACACAUUAAACGCAAUUUUAGUUAUAAAGAAGCAAGUAUUAAAAAAAUUAUUUUACGGAUAAGCUUUUGAAAUAAAAGCUUUAAAGUUGGAAUUGUCUGUAAUCGUAUUUUAAAUAGGUACGGUGAAAUUAAACUACUUUCUGUACACAUUGCCUGUCAA
rnacentral:rRNA from 1 species